UUGACGAAGUGCCGUCAGACUGAACACAGUUCGCUGUUGUCGGCAGUGGCCGUUUGUUUUUACGGAUCAAACUCGUAACACCAUUUACCUGGCGGAAGAAUGAACGUCUUUUUUAAAGAUCUCUCAAUCAAAGUUCUGGGCGGGUCUGUAAGGGCUGCGUCAGCAGUUAUUCCAGGACCGGUUUUACUUGGCAUCGCUGCUUUCGUAUUCGGGGGAAUACUAAUCUAUAAAUAUAUGGAUGAAGAAGGAAAACGUAAAACUGCGUAACAUAAAUAUUAGCUGACCCCUGACCCAAGAUGGGAGUCGCUGUCUCGAGCUGCUUCAGAAGGAUGUCUUUCUCCUCAACAGGAAAUCACAAGAAAUCACUGAAAGACUAGUAGCUGCAGUUUCACUGUCUUCUUUAAAAAACUGUAUCUGUUUGAGUUCUCUUAAUGAUCAUGAAAUAAACAAACAGCAAGACUC